rnacentral:sRNA from 1 species
AUGCCAAGGCCGAAGAGACAACUUAAACGGGCGGUUGCCCUUGAUACUCAAGACCCAGGACAAGCACGCAGGCCAGGCCGGCGCAGGGCUCAACGCCAACAGACCAACAAUAACGAACAAGAUGUCCAGGCUCAACCGGCACCCCCUCAGCCCCAGGCAGUCCAACUACUCCAGGCAGCCCCACAGCAUCCGGCGGCACUGUUACAACAGGCAGCCCCACCACAGCAAGCCCAGGAUCAGGCGGGUAAUGUGAUUUUUAAUCCCUCUGUAGCAACAUUACAACAAAACACCACUCUAAUGCCUGGCCUCAUUUCGCCUGUCAAUUCUAGUCUCACAUCUACAUGCACAGAUACAGGGAUAACUUCCAUUAUCACCUCAACCCAUCAGCCUACUCCUGAACCAAUCAACUCUAUUACAGUUCCCAUUGGGUAUCAUGUAAACCAACCAAUUAAGCAAAAAAUCAUCACGGGCGAAUUUGUCAGUCUGGGAACAUUAUUGGUAUCAGACACCAGCACACCAAACACGCACCAACCAACAUUGGGCGGGAAACCCUCGUCAACCCCAGAGACAUUUGGGUCCUAG